AUCUCCAUCUUGAAUUCUCUUCCCCCUUCUCAUAUGAACCCUAAUUAGAACAAGAGCCCCUUUCUUGAUCGCCACACCCAUUCAAAACCCUAAUUCCCCCAUCAAUUCAAUCACAUAUAACCUUCCUCAAGAUCCACCCUUCAAAACCCUAAUUCCCCCAUCAAUUCCACACCAUUUCUCACAAACACAACCCAUCAAUGGCCGAUUCACACGACCCCAAAAACAUCCGAAACAUAUGCAUUCUCGCCCACGUUGACCACGGCAAGACCACCCUCGCCGACCACCUAAUCGCCUCCUCCGGCGGCGGCGUUCUGCACCCAAAACAAGCCGGCAGGCUCCGCUUCAUGGACUAUCUAGACGAAGAACAACGGCGUGCAAUAACCAUGAAAAGUUCCUCAAUUGCUCUUCAAUACAAAAACCAUUCAAUCAACCUAAUUGAUUCACCGGGUCAUAUGGAUUUCUGCAGUGAAGUUUCAACCGCUUCAAGAUUGAGUGAUGGGGGUUUGGUGUUAGUGGAUGCUGUUGAGGGUGUUCAUAUUCAAACUCAUGCGGUUUUACGACAAGCCUGGAUCGAAAAGCUUACGCCUUGUUUGGUUUUGAAUAAGAUUGAUAGGUUGAUUGUUGAGUUGAAGUUGAGUCCUUUAGAGGCGUAUAAUCGGCUUUUACGGAUUGUUCAUGAGGUUAAUGGGAUCGUUAGUGCGUAUAAAUCGGAGAAGUAUUUGUCGGAUGUUGAUUCGAUACUUGCUCGCCCGGUUGGUGAAACAGGGGAUGAGUAUCAAGAACUGUUGGAUGAUGAUGAUGAGGAGGAUACGUUUCAGCCGCAGAAGGGGAAUGUGGUGUUUGUUUGUGCUUUAGACGGGUGGGGGUUUGGGAUAUGUGAGUUUGCUGAGUUUUACGCUUCGAAACUUGGGGCGAGUGUUGCGGUUUUGCAGAAGGCGUUUUGGGGUCCGAGGUAUUUUGUUCCGAAAACGAAACGGAUUGUGGGUAAGAAAGGGUUGCCUGCGGGGAGUAAGGCGCGGCCCAUGUUUGUGCAGUUUGUGCUCGAGCCGUUGUGGCAGGUGUAUGAGGCUGCGUUGGAUACGAAUGGGGAUAAAACGAUUCUUGAGAAGUUGAUUAAGUCGUUUAAUUUGUCGGUUCCUCCUCGUGAGCUUCAGAAUAAAGAUCCAAAAUCUGUUCUUCAAUCUGUUGUGAGUAGGUGGCUUCCUUUGUCGGAUGCUAUUUUGUCGAUGGUGAUUAAACAUAUGCCGGAUCCUGGUACCGCGCAAGCGUUUCGCUUGUCGCGUUUGCUGCCGAAAAGAGAGAUUCUUGAUGAUGACGUUGGUAAGUCUGAUGUGAUUGCAGAGGCUGAGCUUGUGCGAAAGUCAGUUGAGGCGUGUGAUUCACGGCCUGAAGCUCCAUGUGUCGCUUUUGUAUCUAAAAUGUUUGCGGUUCCCAUGAAAAUGCUACCUCAAAGAGACGUAAACGGUGGGAUUGUGAACAAUAUAGAAGUUGGAAAUGGGGAUUCCGAUGAGUGUUUUCUUGCAUUUGCUAGGAUCUUUAGUGGUGUUAUUCAUUUGGGUCAGAAGGUAUUUGUGUUAUCAGCAUUGUAUGAUCCGCUUAAAACGGGUGAUUCGGUUCAGAAGCAUAUUCAAGAAGCUGAAUUGCAUUCUUUGUAUUUGAUGAUGGGUCAAGGGUUAACACCCGUUGCUUCCGCACGGGCUGGAAACAUUGUCGCCAUUAGAGGGUUAGGUCAACAUAUUUUGAAAAGCGCGACUCUUUCAUCAACGAAAAACUGUUGGCCGUUUUCAAGUAUGACGUUUCAAGUUUCACCGACGUUAAAAGUGGCCAUUGAGCCGUCUGACCCGGUUGACAUGGGUGCGCUUAUGAAAGGGCUCCGGCUGUUAAACCGGGCUGACCCGUUUGUAGAGGUCAGUGUGUCCGCUAGAGGCGAACACGUGCUUGCUGCUGCGGGUGAAGUUCAUUUGGAAAGAUGUAUUAAAGAUUUAAAAGAGCGGUUUGCGAAGGUAAAUUUAGAAAUCUCACCGCCUCUUGUGUCGUUUAGAGAAACAAUCGAAGGAGAAUCGUUAAACUCGUUUGAUAAAUUCAAAUCGUUAACCGGGAAUUCAAACGUUAUUGAAAAAACUACACCAAACGGAAGGUGUACCGUUCGUGUGCACAUAUUGAAACUUCCUGAUGCACUUACGAAAUUGCUAGAUGAAAGUUCGGAUCUUCUAGAGGAUAUUAUCGCAGGUAAAGCGAUAAGAGCUCAAGACGAUGAACACCCGGUAGAAUCGCUUAGAAAACGCAUAUGGGAUGCCGUUGAAAGUGAAAUUUCAGACACGAAUGCGGAAAAAGAUAAAGAAAAGUUAAAACUUUUAUGGGAAAAUCUUCUGAAACGAAUAUGGGCUUUAGGGCCACGACAAAUCGGUCCCAACAUGCUUCUUCUUCCGGAUUCAACUACAGACGACAACGGUUCAUCGGUCCUUAUUAAAGGUUCUCCAUACGUAUCUGAACGGUUAGGUUUUGUGUCGAGCAGUGAAGAGUCAGAAACCGAGACAACAAGCGCUGAAACCCGAUCACUGAAAGAAGAAGCCGAUAGCCUCAGAAGCAGUGUCUUAUCCGGGUUCCAAGUAGCCACUGGAUCCGGCCCGUUAUGCGACGAACCCAUGUGGGGUUUAGCAUUUGUAAUAGAAGCUUCGAUUUCACCUUACGAUAGCGAGUCAGAAGCCGUCAAUCAAAGCGAUCAAUACGGGGUGUUUUCCGGGCAGGUUAUGACAGCGGUUAAAGAAGCAUGUAAAGCCGGCGUACUUCAAAAAAACCCUAGAAUCGUUGAGGGGAUGUAUUUCUGUGAACUAAACACACCAACCGAGUAUUUAGGGCCUAUGUACGCUGUGCUGGCCCGCCGACGUGCCCGGAUUUUGAAAGAAGAAAUGCAAGAAGGGUCACCGUUGUUCACGGUGCAUGCUUAUGUACCGGUUGCAGAAAGUUUCGGGUUUCCAGAUGAGUUAAGAAGAUGGACUUCUGGUGCUUCGAGCGCUCUUCUUGUUCUUAGUCAUUGGGAAGCACUUCCGGAAGACCCAUUUUUUGUACCGAAAACAGAAGAAGAAAAAGAGGAGUUUGGUGAUGGGUCGAGUGUUUUACAAAAUACAGCAAGAAAAUUAAUAGACGGGGUUAGAAGGCGCAAGGGUUUGGCCGUUGAGGAAAAGGUGGUCCAGUUUGCUACGAAACAGAGGACUCUGGCCCGUAAGAAACAUUACUGGACGAAUUUCACACAGGUGAAGACAGAAAAUGAACAAGAAUUGUUUAUCUAUCAAUGGGGGCUUUUGUUUCGCCUCAAUCGAUUGUGUGUUUGUAGGUAACAUAUUUGCUUUUGGGCUCUUUGUGUCACCAAUGUAAGUAUCAACAGAACAGUUCUCAGGAAUCCCAUAUGUUUACGCCCUCUUGAACUGCCCAUGGUAUGGCUGCCCGCCCGCUCAUAUCAUAUGAUAAUUUGUUGGUCACAACGGUCAACUCUGUUGGUGCGAUUUUCCAGUUAACAUACAUAGUUAUCUAUAUAACACAUGCUGACAAAAGCAAAAAGGUUGAUUGGGAAGGGCAAAAGAAUCAAAUAGAUGCUGGUUAGUAAGGGUCGUUUGGCGUUUUACGCCUUAUGCAUGCCAACCGUUAUCUUCAAAAACAAGCUCAAAUUCAGGGGGUUUGUUAUAUCAGACUGGCAAGGGAUUGACAGGAUCACUACUCCCGAACAUGCGAACUACACAUAAUAUUCAAUCAUAAACCAUUGGUGUAGAAAAGUCAGGGUUUGGCUAAAAUAAUCUUUCAUUUUCUAAUUUUUCGACUUUUUCUAUAAUUUUGUUGUUUUCAGACCUUAAUCUCAUCAUCAUCCUAUAAUAAUGUGUCACAAAUAUUUAUAUUCAUUUCGGUGGUGGACAUGGCCCCCAACUUGACCGUGGAUCCUUUUAGAGCAUUUGAAGACA